GAAUGAAAAAGAGGAGUCUGGCAGGAAUGGGAGGCAUCCAGAAUGAGAAGGAGACCAUGCAAAGUGUGACUGCCCACCUGGCUUCCUACCUGGACAGAGUGAGGAGCAUGGAGACCAAGAACUGGAAGCUGGGGAGCAAAAUCCGGGAGCACCUGGAGAAGAAGGGACCCCAGGUCAGAGACUGGAGCCAUUACUUUAAGACCAUCAAGGACCUGAGGGCUUAGAUCUUCACAAAUACUGUGGACAAUGCCCACAUCUUUCUGCAGAAUAACAAUGCUGGUCUUGCUGCUGAUGACUUUAAAGUCAAGUAUGAGACAGAGCUGGCCAUGCGCCAGUCUGUGGAAAGUGACAACCAUGGGCUCCACAAGGUCAUUGAUGACACCAAUGUCACUUGGCUGCAGCUGGAGACAGAGAUCAAGGCUCUCAAGGAGGAGGUGCUCUUCAUGAAGAACCACAAAGAGGAAGUAAAAGGCCUACAAGCCAGAUUGCCAGCUCUGGGUUGACCAUGGAGGUAGAUGCCCCCAAAUCUCAGGACCUCACCAAGAUCAUGGCAGACAUCCAGGCCCAAUAUGAUGAGCUGGCUCGGAAGAACCGAGAUGAGCUGGACAAGUACUGGUCUCAGCAGAUUGAGGAGAGCACCACAGUGGUCACCAUGCAGUUUGCUGAAGUUGGAGCUGCUGAGAUGACACUCACGGAGCUGUGACAUACAGUCCAGUCCUUGGAGAUCGACCUGGACUCCAUGACAAAUCUGAAGGCCAGCUUGGAGAACAGCCCGAGGGAGGUAGAGGCCCGCUAUGUCCUGCAGAUGGAGCAGCUCACUGGAAUCCUGCCGCAUGUGGAGUCAGAGCUGGCACAGACCCGGGCAGAGGGACAGCAUGAGGCCCAGGAGUAUGAGGCCCUACUGAACAUCAAGGUCAAGCUGGAGGCUGCGAUCGCCAUCUAAUGCUGCCUGCUGGGAGAUAGCGAGGACUUCAAUCUUGGUGUUGCCCUGGACAGCAGCAAAUCCAUGCAAACCAUCCAAAAGACCAGCACCAAACAGACAGUAGACGGCAAACAGGUGUCUGAAACCAACGACAUCAAAGUUCUGAGACAUUAAACCGGCAGAAGCAGGGUACUCUUUGAGGAGCAGGAGGCCAAUAAAA